GUGCUGGGUUCAGCAGCACCUACACUAAAAUUAGAACAAGAAUGAGGAGAGGUUAGCAUGGUCCCUGCUCCAGAGUGAAACAGAAUUCAAAAGACUAAUAUAAUUUAA